GAGUGGGCAUGCUUUAAAUGCCAUCAGGCAGCCGAGAAGGCACUAAAGGCGGCUCAGUACACAAUAGAUGUUGACAAGACUAGUGUCCACGACUUGGUUGAGAAUUGCGAUAGUUUACAUGACUCCCAGUUAACCGACUUAGCAAGGGAUCUGCAGAGACUUGUUGUUCGUUCGGCGCGCAUGCGUUAUCCAGAUCAGGUGUCCUUUCCCAAGAUCCCAAACGAAGUUUACUCGGCAGAGAUGGCUCAGGAGGCCUUACAGCUUUCAAAGAAUAUUUUAAUGCGAGUCAAAGACAGGAUACCCUAAGGGUGUGGCAAGUGUUUGGACUACCUGAGAAUAUUCAAGGAUACAUUUCAGGAGUUCCUGCCGAUGUUCCUACGCAUGUGUUAAUCAGUGGAUGUUAACUUAAUCGAACAAUUCAGUUUUAAAAAGUCAAGUAAUACAUGUAAAGUGAUCCAUGUUCUGAUGGGAAAAUAUUUCAAACGCGUACAUGUUCUCUAGCGUGGAGUUUAUCGUUCCAGUAAGUGCAUUUUUUUUUUUUACUUCUUAAGUCCGUAGAAAUCUUCGCUCUAGGUAUUCAAACAUUUAGGCGUAAGUGCAAAAGCAUGACUAUAGUGAGCAUUACAAUAUUUGAUUGUUAUUUGGUGAACCUACAGCUUGCUUGUUUGUUUGUUUUUUCACAAAGAGACGAUAUUAGCUUAGUUUGAGUUAUUUUAUACCGUUCAAGAAGGCUAGGAAAAUCUGCCUCUAACAGAAGUUGCGUCAAUGCAGUCAAAUAGGCCGGUACUUUGAUGUUGACAGUGGCCGACAACAUAAAAUACCACUGUUUGUUAGCCGCUGCAUUUCGUAUUUACCUUUUUUAGCAGAGUUAAACUUGUUGACCAGUAAGAUCGAAGACAAAGUUUUGAACGUGUCCUAGGCUUGCCUUCACAUACCUACAUAUACAUAAAACUUUAUUUUAUGUCAGAGUUUGAGUAGCUAAAAAUAGGCUAGUAUCUCCGAAAAUCAAAAAAUCAAAGAAUCAAAAAAUCAAAAUAAAGUAACACUAUGUUUAUGGAAUAAAAUAUUAACUUAGAGGAAAUUACAAUUAGCCAAUCAAUUCAUUGCAGGCGCCUUUGAAUCACAGACUAUGUAAAACAUGAGCCUUUAGGAUUCUUGACCCAAUAGCUCGAUUAUAUUCUUAAUUUGUGAGUCAGGAAUAAACGUAGGCGCGUCAUUUCACAGCUACCAAAGUUCUUCCUAUUUUCAAGCACGAACCUAAUUCCUAUUUACUCGUUAUAGAUAGAUACUGUUUGCUACGUAGUUUUCAGUAGAAUAUAAUAAGUAAUUCAGAAUAAAUCAAUUAAAAAGUAAAUGCAAGAAUAUAGAAACGCUAUAAUUGCUCAAAAUAAGGUUGAAUACAUGUCUGUCAAACAGAGGAAUCAGUACAGAUAGUUACAAGGUAGAGAGAGGUACACCUUUCAGUUGAGGGUAUAAAUAAACAAAUAUGUUCUAAUUUCCAAUAGCAAUUUCCAAGUAGACAAUAGUUUUAUACUAGUAAAUUUUUGGAGACUUGUACCGUCUCUUUGUUGUUGUUGUUUUUUCAAUGGUGUUGUAAUCUUUUUACAGCGGUUUCGUUAAAACACAGUGCCAAAACGUUUUUCGGUGGUUUUCAUGUUUUUAUUUUUAAGCUAAUAAGCUCAAUGUAGGCUAUUUUUGAAACAAUGAACUUGUUUAGGCAGCAAUACAAAGCACACAACUUUGAUAGCUUAAUUUAUUUUCCCUGGAGACGCCUGGUCUAAAAUGGUUGUGUUUCUGUUGUUGAAUAAAUCUGAAUUAUAAACAUUCAAUGGAAUUUAACGAUGCCAGAGGCAAAUAUAUUGAAAUAAAUGUAGUUAAAAUCUCUGUAGCACACAGUCAAAUAGGCCAUAUGCAAGGCCCGUUUGUUAGAGAAACAAGCAAAAAAUAAAACUAAUUUGUGCUUAUUUGA
rnacentral:lncRNA from 1 species